rnacentral:rRNA from 1 species
GACGAACGCUGGCGGCGUGCCUAAUACAUGCAAGUUGAGCGCUGAAGGUUGGUACUUGUACCAACUGGAUGAGCAGCGAACGGGUGAGUAACGCGUGGGGAAUCUGCCUUUGAGCGGGGGACAACAUUUGGAAACGAAUGCUAAUACCGCAUAAAAACUUUAAACACAAGUUUUAAGUUUGAAAGAUGCAAUUGCAUCACUCAAAGAUGAUCCCGCGUUGUAUUAGCUAGUUGGUGAGGUAAAGGCUCACCAAGGCGAUGAUACAUAGCCGACCUGAGAGGGGGCUCGGCCACAUUGGGACGGGGACACCGCCCAAACGCCUACGGGAGGCAGCAGUAGGGGAUCUUCGGCAAUGGACGAAAGUCUGACCGAGCAACGCCGCGUGAGUUGAGAAGGGUUUCGGAUCGUAAAACUCUGUUGGUAGAGAAGAACGUUGGUGAGAGUGGAAAGCUCAUCAAGUGACGGUAACUACCCAGAAAGGGACGGCUAACUACGUG